rnacentral:rRNA from 1 species
GCUUGCUUCUCUUGAGAGCGGCGGACGGGUGAGUAAUGCCUAGGAAUCUGCCUGGUAGUGGGGGAUAACGUUCGGAAACGGACGCUAAUACCGCAUACGUCCUACGGGAGAAAGCAGGGGACCUUCGGGCCUUGCGCUAUCAGAUGAGCCUAGGUCGGAUUAGCUAGUUGGUGAGGUAAUGGCUCACCAAGGCGACGAUCCGUAACUGGUCUGAGAGGAUGAUCAGUCACACUGGAACUGAGACACGGUCCAGACUCCUACGGGAGGCAGCAGUGGGGAAUAUUGGACAAUGGGCGAAAGCCUGAUCCAGCCAUGCCGCGUGUGUGAAGAAGGUCUUCGGAUUGUAAAGCACUUUAAGUUGGGAGGAAGGGUUGUAGAUUAAUACUCUGCAAUUUUGACGUUACCGACAGAAUAAGCACCGGCUAACUCUGUGCCAGCAGCCGCGGUAAUACAGAGGGUGCAAGCGUUAAUCGGAAUUACUGGGCGUAAAGCGCGCGUAGGUGGUUUGUUAAGUUGGAUGUGAAAUCCCCGGGCUCAACCUGGGAACUGCAUUCAAAACUGACUGACUAGAGUAUGGUAGAGGGUGGUGGAAUUUCCUGUGUAGCGGUGAAAUGCGUAGAUAUAGGAAGGAACACCAGUGGCGAAGGCGACCACCUGGACUAAUACUGACACUGAGGUGCGAAAGCGUGGGGAGCAAACAGGGAUUAGAUACCCUGGUAGUCCACGCCGUAACGAUGUCAACUAGCCGUUUGGAAGCCUUGAGCUUUAGUGGCGCAGCUUAACGCAUUAAGUUGACCGCCUGGGGAGUACGGCCGCAAGGUUAAAACUCAAAUGAAUUGACGGGGGCCCGCACAAGCGGUGGAGCAUGUGGUUUAAUUCGAAGCAACGCGAAGAACCUUACCAGGCCUUGACAUCCAAUGAACUUUCUAGAGAUAGAUUGGUGCCUUCGGGAACAUUGAGACAGGUGCUGCAUGGCUGUCGUCAGCUCGUGUCGUGAGAUGUUGGGUUAAGUCCCGUAACGAGCGCAACCCUUGUCCUUAGUUACCAGCACGUUAUGGUGGGCACUCUAAGGAGACUGCCGGUGACAAACCGGAGGAAGGUGGGGAUGACGUCAAGUCAUCAUGGCCCUUACGGCCUGGGCUACACACGUGCUACAAUGGUCGGUACAGAGGGUUGCCAAGCCGCGAGGUGGAGCUAAUCCCAUAAAACCGAUCGUAGUCCGGAUCGCAGUCUGCAACUCGACUGCGUGAAGUCGGAAUCGCUAGUAAUCGCGAAUCAGAAUGUCGCGGUGAAUACGUUCCCGGGCCUUGUACACACCGCCCGUCACACCAUGGGAGUGGGUUGCACCAGAAGUAGCUAGUCUAACCUUCGGGAGGACGGUUAACCACGGUGUGAU